AUUGAACGCUGGCGGCAGGCCUAACACAUGCAAGUCGAACGAGGGGAGGAGGGGUGAGUAAUGUCUGGGAAACUGCCCGAUGGGGGGGGAUAACUACGGGAACGAGAAGCAAAUACGGCAUACAAUCGGAUGUGAACAGAUGGGAUUAGCUAGUAGGUGGGGUAAAGGCUCACCUAGGCGACGAUCCCUAGCUGGUCUGAGAGGAUGACAAGCCACACUGGAACGGAGACACGGUCCAGACUCCUACGGGAGGCAGCAGUGGGGAAUAUUGCACAAUGGGCGCAAGCCUGAUGCAGCCAUGCCGCGUGUAUGAAGAAGGCCUUCGGGUUGUAAAGUACUUUCAGCGAGGAGGCGUUACUCGCAGAAGAAGCACCGGCUAACUCCGUGCCAGCAGCCGCGGUAAUAC
rnacentral:rRNA from 1 species